GGUAUGGGACUGUAGGUGGAGGUAUAGAGGUAUGGGACUGUAGGUGGAGGUAUAGAGGUAUGGGACUGUAGGUGGAGGUAUAGAGGUAUGGGACUGUAGGUGGAGGUAUAGGACUGUAGGUGGAGGUAUAGAGGUAUGGGACUGUAGGUGGAGGUAUAGAGGUAUGGGACUGUAGGUGGAGGUAUAGAGGUAUGGGACUGUAGGUGGAGGUAUAGAGGUAUGGGACUGUAGGUGGAGGUAUGGGACUGUAGGUGGA
rnacentral:lncRNA from 1 species